AGAGUGAACGCUGGCGGUAGGCCUAACACAUGCAAGUCGAACGGCAGCACAGUAGGAGCUUGCUCUUACGGGUGGCGAGUGGCGGACGGGUGAGGAAUACAUCGGAAUCUACCUUUUGGUGGGGGAUAACGUAGGGAAACUUACGCUAAUACCGCAUACGCCCUUCGGGGGAAAGCCGGGGACCAGCAAUGGCCUGGCGCUGAUAGAUGAGCCGAUGUCGGAUUAGCUAGUUGGUGAGGUAAUGGCUCACCAAGGCGACGAUCCGUAGCUGGUCUGAGAGGAUGAUCAGCCACACUGGAACUGAGACACGGUCCAGACUCCGUACGGGAGGCAGCAGGUGGGGAAAUAGUUGGACAAAGUGGGCGCAAGCCUGACUCCAGCCAGUACCCGGCGUAGGGUAGAAAGAA
rnacentral:rRNA from 1 species